UACGUAGGGUGCAAGCGUUUGUCCGGAAUUAUUGGGCGUAAAGAGCUCGUAGGCGGUCUGUCGCGUCGAAUGUGAAAACCCGGGGCUCAACUCCGGGCUUGCAUUCGAUACGGGCAGGCUAGAGUUCGGUAGGGGAGUCUGGAAUUCCUGGUGUAGCGGUGAAAUGCGCAGAUAUCAGGAGGAACACCGGUGGCGAAGGCGGGUCUCUGGGCCGAUACUGACGCUGGAGGAGCGAAAGCAUGGGGAGCGAACAGG
rnacentral:rRNA from 1 species